rnacentral:misc_RNA from 1 species
GCUUCUUCAACAUUUAAAUUUUCCAUAGCUGAUGUUUCCAAAAAAGAUAAUCCUUCUACUUGUGCAAGGCUUUGUCCAUCUUCAAUAUUUACUUGUCUUGAUGAAUUUGAUAAAUCAGAUUUGUUACCAACAAGAACAAUUACCAUGUCUGAAUUUCCAUAUUCCCUAAGUUCAUGUAGCCAUUUUCUUAAAUUUUCAAAUGUUGUCCUUCUUGUUAUGUCGUAAACAAGUAAAGCACCAAGCGCUCCGCGAUAAUAGGAACUUGUAAUUGCUCUAAACCUUUCUUGUCCAGCA